rnacentral:rRNA from 1 species
GAUGAACGCUGGCGGCGUGCUUAACACAUGCAAGUCGAACGGAAAGGCUCCUGCUUGCAGGGGUACUCGAGUGGCGAACGGGUGAGUAACACGUGGGUGAUCUGCCCUGCACUUCGGGAUAAGCCUGGGAAACUGGGUCUAAUACCGGAUAGGACGAUGGUUUGGAUGCCAUUGUGGAAAGUUUUUUCGGUGUGGGAUGAGCUCGCGGCCUAUCAGCUUGUUGGUGGGGUAAUGGCCUACCAAGGCGUCGACGGGUAGCCGGCCUGAGAGGGUGUACGGCGACAUUGGGACUGAGAUACGGCCCAGACUCCUACGGGAGGCAGCAGUGGGGAAUAUUGCACAAUGGGCGCAAGCCUGAUGCAGCGACGCCGCGUGGGGGAUGACGGCCUUCGGGUUGUAAACUCCUUUCGCUAGGGACGAAGCGCAAGUGACGGUACCUGGAGAAGAAGCACCGGCUAACUACGUG